rnacentral:lncRNA from 1 species
GAGAGUAACACCGGUUGAUUGUGGCGCAGGUGUUGCUGAGCCUGAUUAGUUUUAGAGUUGCAGUGGCAGAAAGGGAAAUUGAAAAAGAUAAAUGAAGUUAAGUAAAGGUGUAUUUGCUGCUGGUAAAGCCAUGCAUUUGCCACUGUCCCCUUGAAUGUCAUGGGGUGAAGAACUGUAAGGGCAGAGAGGAAAAAACUUAGAUAAGCAAGAAGAAAUAGAUUGAUCAACUUCUUCCCAAGCUCGUACCAAUAUGGAAGCUUCACCAAGCAGUCAAAUUUUUC